rnacentral:rRNA from 1 species
ACAGGAUUAGAUACCCUGGUAGUCCACGCGGUAAACGAUGGAUGCUCGUUGUCGGCCCUUCGGGUCGGUGACCAAGCGAAAGCGUUAAGCAUCCCACCUGGGGAGUACGCCGGCAACGGUGAAACUCAAAGGAAUUGACGGGGGCCCGCACAAGCGGAGGAACAUGUGGUUUAAUUCGAUGAUACGCGAGGAACCUUACCUGGGCUUGAACUGCGGCGGAACGAUUCGGAGAGGAUGAGGCCCUUCGAGGCCGCCGCGGAGGUGCUGCAUGGUUGUCGUCAGCUCGUGCCGUGAGGUGUCGGCUUAAGUGCCAUAACGAGCGCAACCCCCGUCUUCAGUUGCCAUCGGGUAAUGCCGGGCACUCUGGAGAUACUGCCACCGCAAGGUGCGAGGAAGGUGGGGAUGACGUCAAAUCAGCACGGCCCUUACGUCCGGGGCUACACACGUGUUACAAUGGCGCAUACAGAGAGUCGGUGGCAUGCGAGUGCCAUCCAAUCCUCAAAGUGCGUCUCAGUUCGGACUGGGGUCUGCAACCCGACCCCACGAAGCUGGAUUCGCUAGUAAUCGCGCAUCAGCCAUGGCGCGGUGAAUACGUUCCCGGGCCUUGUACAC